rnacentral:sRNA from 1 species
GUUCAGCAUCCACGUUCUUCGCGUAUUUUUUGUGCAUUUUUUGUUUCAGUGUGAGAAUUCAAAUUAAAAGCCAAAUAGCAGUGCAAAAUGUUAAAGUGAAGUGUGUGUUGUGUUGUUUAUAUUGAUUUGCUGCUAUUAUUUAAUAUGCCAUAACCAUUUACUAAGUGCAAAUUCUUGUUGGCAAUAUUUCCAUGCAUGCAUGCAUACAUACAUAAAUAAAUAUAUGUAGGUAUAUGUGUGAGGGGGGCAUUUCGAAUGAUCGCAGCGAAUAUCGAAAAUGAGAACGCAAAAUAAACAAAUCAUAAAUCUGGGAAAAUGUGCGCGACCAACGACCACCCAAAAGGGGCAACACGAACAUCUUUUAGCUUGCAUCACUGAUAUAAGGAGCAUCAAGUAAGAAUCAAGGUAAACUAUAAUCAUAAGAC